CAGGCUUAACACAUGCAAGUCGAGGGGCAUCAGGAAGAAAGCUUGCUUUCUUUGCUGGCGACCGGCGCACGGGUGAGUAACACGUAUCCAACCUGCCCUUUACUCGGGGAUAGCCUUUCGAAAGAAAGAUUAAUACCCGAUAGUAUAAUGAUUCCGCAUGGUUUCAUUAUUAAAGGAUUCCGGUAAAGGAUGGGGAUGCGUUCCAUUAGGUUGUUGGUGAGGUAACGGCUCACCAAGCCUUCGAUGGAUAGGGGUUCUGAGAGGAAGGUCCCCCACAUUGGAACUGAGACACGGUCCAAACUCCUACGGGAGGCAGCAGUGAGGAAUAUUGGUCAAUGGGCGCUAGCCUGAACCAGCCAAGUAGCGUGAAGGAUGAAGGCUCUAUGGGUCGUAAACUUCUUUUAUAUAAGAAUAAAGUGCAGUAUGUAUACUGUUUUGUAUGUAUUAUAUGAAUAAGGAUCGGCUAACUCCGUGCCAGCAGCCGCGGUAAUACGGAGGAUCCGAGCGUUAUCCGGAUUUAUUGGGUUUAAAGGGAGCGUAGGUGGACUGGUAAGUCAGUUGUGAAAGUUUGCGGCUCAACCGUAAAAUUGCAGUUGAUACUGUCAGUCUUGAGUACAGUAGGGGUGGGCGGAAUUCGUGGUGUAGCGGUGAAAUGCUUAGAUAUCACGAAGAACUCCGAUUGCGAAGGCAGCUCACUGGACUGCAACUGACACUGAUGCUCGAAAGUGUGGGUAUCAAACAGGAUUAGAUACCCUGGUAGUCCACACAGUAAACGAUGAAUACUCGCUGUUUGCGAUAUACAGUAAGCGGCCAAGCGAAAGCAUUAAGUAUCCCACCUGGGGAGUACGCCGGCAACGGUGAAACUCAAAGGAAUUGACGGGGGCCCGCACAAGCGGAGGAACAUGUGGUUUAAUUCGAUGAUACGCGAGGAACCUUACCCGGGCUUAAAUUGCAGUGGAAUGAUGUGGAAACAUGUCAGUGAGCAAUCACCGCUGUGAAGGUGCUGCAUGGUUGUCGUCAGCUCGUGCCGUGAGGUGUCGGCUUAAGUGCCAUAACGAGCGCAACCCUUAUCUUCAGUUACUAACAGGUCAUGCUGAGGACUCUGGAGAGACUGCCGUCGUAAGAUGUGAGGAAGGUGGGGAUGACGUCAAAUCAGCACGGCCCUUACGUCCGGGGCUACACACGUGUUACAAUGGGGGGUACAGAAGGCAGCUAGCGGGUGACCGUAUGCUAAUCCCAAAAGCCUCUCUCAGUUCGGAUCGAAGUCUGCAACCCGACUUCGUGAAGCUGGAUUCGCUAGUAAUCGCGCAUCAGCCACGGCGCGGUGAAUACGUUCCCGGGCCUUGUACACACCGCCCGUCAAGCCAUGGGAGCCGGGGGUACCUGAAGUACGUAACCGCAAGGAUCGUCCUAGGGUAAAACUGGUGACUGGGGC
rnacentral:rRNA from 1 species